AGCAGCCGCGGUAAUUCCAGCUCCAAUAGCGUAUAUUAAAGUUGUUGCAGUUAAAAAGCUCGUAGUUGAAUUUCGGGACCAAUAUGUCGGUCGUGCCUCGGUACGUACUGGCAUCGUUGGUUUCUCCCUUCUGACGAACCAUGAUGUCAUUUAUUUGGUGUCGUGGGGAAUCAGGACUGUUACUUUGAAAAAUUAGAGUGUUUAAAGCAGGCUCACGCUUGAAUACAUUAGCAUGGAAUAAUGAAAUAGGACGUUUGAUUCUAUUUGUUGGUUUCUAGGAUCGACGUAAUGAUUAAUAGGGAUAGUUGGGGGCAUUAGUAUUCAAUUGUCAGAGGUGAAAUUCUUGGAUUUAUUGAAGACUAACUACUGCGAAAGCAUUUGCCAAGGAUGUUUUCAUUAAUACAAGAACGAAAGUUAGGGGAUCGAAGACGAUCAGA
rnacentral:rRNA from 1 species